CAUUUCUGUGAGAGAGAAAAAGAGAGAGUCAUAGCACAGGAUGAGGGUAAGGUGAGGGUUUAUUUUUCUUUUACUUUUAUUCUUUUGAGACAGUCUGGCUCUGCUGCCCAGGCUGGAAUGCAGUGGUGCCAUCUCGGUUCACUGCAACCUCUGCCUCCCCAGGAUCAAGUGAUUCUCCUGCCUCAGCCUCCCAGGUAGCUGGGACUACAGGCGCCUGUCACCACACCCGGCUAAUUUUUGUAUUUUUAGUAGAGACGUGGUUUCACCAUGUUGGCCAGACUGAUCUUGAACUCCUGACGUCAGGUGAUCCACCCGCCUCAGCCUCCCAAAGCGUUGGGAUUACAGGCGUGAGUCACUGUGCCCAGCCAAGAGGGGCAGUGGCCCAGGAUGACCACCUCCCUGCCUUCCUGAUCCCCUGGCCUCACCUCCACAAUGGAUGGGUCUUCAGGCUCCAGAAGGCAGGAAUGAAGACUAUGACAAGCAGGAGGAGAAGCAGCAGUAGAAACAGAGUUUCACCAUGUUGCCCCGGCUGGUCUCAAACUCCUGACCUCAAGAGAUCCACCCGCCUUGGCCUCCAAAGUGCUGGGAUUACAGGCGUGAGCCACCGCACCUGGCUGGACCUUCUUAAUAAUUGAUACUUCUGGAACUCUCCAACUAUGGCCAUUCUAAGCAAUUGGGAAGCUUCCAGGUUGCCCCGUUUCUGAAACUUCCUCUAUUGUGACUAUGCUAGACCUGGGGUGAAGUCUGGGGAAGGGACAGUCUCUUUGGCAUGCUGACCGCCGAGGAGACCAGUUUGGGGAGGAAAGAUUAUUCAGGGGUCUCCUACCUUGGGGAGAAGUGAGGGGAGGAGGAGGGCCCGCUGUAAGGGAGUGCUCGCGCCCUUGGUCUCUGUUCUUGGCCAUGAAUGAUGUUGUUCACCCGUCUCUC